AGAGAGGGAGGAAGAAAGGGAAAACUAUUCUAGGUUCCAAGGAGUAUGUAAACAUGUGUUAAGACUUUAUACCAGUUCUUGAGAAACUCUCACUUUAGAGAGACAAAAAUUUGUAUGAAACGUUCUUAAGGAAGGACAUUUAUGAAAGGGUUUAAGAUAUGUUACAAAGUUACAUAAAAUACAAAGUGCAAAAUAAGAACAGGGUGACAAGCUAAGGGAAAACAAAGGUACAUUUUCUGCAAGUUCGCAGCCAUGCUCCGGGGUGAGGACGGGGCACAUGGCAGCCCCCACUGCUUUGCAGAAUCACCUAAUAAACUGGAAGAGGGUGGCAUAGGUGAAGACUUGGCUUAAACCCAAAGAGCACUGAAUUUCAAAGCACGUUUAAAUCCCCCCGAGCAGCUGGGACAUCACUGAGUUCUCAGGAGGGCCUGGCUGGCUUUCUGAGGGAGGGUCUCCUGCCAGCCUGCGGGAGAGCCAUCUGGGGUUCGGUGGGGGGACACACUUAGCUGUUCCUCUCCCCUCCCACCCGUUGAACCUUAGCUCUGGUGUUUCCUGGCACGGCACUUGGGCGAGCCGUCUUCUUUGCCUGUGACCCGGGAGUAAAGCAGCAGCUGCCCAGCACCGCCCUGAGGCCCGGUCGCUUGAUGCCUGGGCGCAGAGCAGGGCAGCUCUGCUUCUCCCUCUCUCCACUUGCUGUUUCCACCACACAGUGGGAUCCCCAGGGCUGCUGUGGGAGCCCGAGAUCCUGUCUGGGCCUCAGAAUCUGAUGCCCACCGUACACUGGAUGGUGAUCGCUCUCGGCCACCCAUGGUCACUCGCCUCCUGGAGCAGCCUGGGUUUGUCCAGUGGCCACGGUCCUUGUUCAAGUCUCCAGCAGUGGCGCCAUGUUCACCUGCGUGGCACAGGGCGUCCCUGAGCCCCGUCUGGUCUGGUUGAAGAAUGGGAAGGUGCUGAGUCCCAGGGAUAACAUUCGGCUGGCCCACGACAACACGUGCCCCAGGUUCCUGUGUCCCGCCCCUGCCCCCGAAGUGGGUGCCUUUGCCACCCCAGGCAUGUGCGCCCACCUAACCCAACACCCUACCUCCCUCUCAAGUCCCCACAAAUCCCAGCAAGCGUGCCCCCUCCGGAGCUCUGCUCCACUAGCUCCACUGCAGGUAAUGCCCACACAAAGGUGGUGGGUCCCGACCCUGGACAGGUCUGUGGUCUCUGAGAAAGACAGUCCCCUCCUUAAGGCCACCUGACUGGGGCAGGGGGCUUGGCAGGAAGGAGCCCCCCAGCUGCCGAGUCUUUCCCUAGCACACGGACGCUAGUGGGGCUCUCAGAUGAGAUCAAGGCCAUCUACCAAAGGGCGACUGAGAACAGAGUGGGCUCCGACCAGGCCAGCGGCCUCCUGGCUGUGACAGGGGACCCAGAGCCACCCCUUGCCCCAAGGGGGCUGCCGGUGAUGGCCCUCUCCACCUCUGCCAUUCCUGGGUCCUGGGAACCACCUGCCUCCAACAGGGACAUCACUGGCUAUGUGCUGAACCUCUGGCCCAUGGGAGAUCGGGUGUGGGUGGGUGGACAGGAGUCCCUGGCCACCUCUGUGCCUGAUGGUGGUACCCUGGGCAGGUUCCUUCCACUCCUCGUGAUCCCCAGACCUGUCUGGGCCCUUGCCAGGCCUCUGGGUCUGUGGCCCCCUGGUGUCUCCUCAGGCCCUUGUGCCCCUUGUCAUCGUAGCUCGUUUCUGCAGCCCCUUCCCUGUGUUCUCUGGCCCAGCCAGGCACCAGAAGGAGCUUCGUGUCCCCUCUGCGGGGGUGUUCGUGUUGGGGAAGAGGGCGCUAAGCCGCCAAGCUGCUCUGCUCCUCAGAGCCAGCCCGGAGCUGCGAGUCUCCAACCCGGAGCCCACGGCCCACUCCCUGCACGCGCGGGCCCGGUGAGCACAGGGCGCCUCCACGGACGCCGCCACCAUGGGCGGUGGUGAGUGGCAGCCUCUCCGGCCCCGCGGAGCCCCUGGCCUCAGGCGGCGGGGCUGCCAGUCAGCUCACACCAUCUCCUCUGCGGCUCCCGCCGCCUGGGCUUCUCCCCCAAAGUGCGCAAUGCCACCUGUGGGCCGCCUUCUGGCGGCUGCCACCCCAGCCCGCGGCCCAUCCUUGGCUUCCAACUCUUCCACCGCCAGCUGCCAGCUGCUCGUUCCGAGGGACCCCUCCUCCCGCCUGACACUGCCAGCGCCUUCCUCUGCACGGAUCUGGGUGAUACCCUGACCCUUCUUCUGCCCCCUGGCCGCCUUCUCUGUGCCCUUCCCCAGGCACGGAGCAUUCCAGCCCAGGAAGGCCUGCUGCCUUCACCGUGUCCUGCUCCCCGCAGAGCCCGCCACCCUGCACGAGGUCCAGCUUCAGGCAUUCAGUGGCUACGGGGACAGGCCCGCAGCUCGCUCUCUCCUUGCGUGAGGUGGGGUCCAGCGGGAGGGUGGCAGGCCUCGGGCAGAGCAGCCCCUCCCACAGAACCCCCGAAUGUCAGCCUUCAGGAAGGCGGAGGGGCUGGGCUUUGCCUCCACCUGAUGCACCGACUUGACAGCGCUGUGUGCACGGCGUCCAGGCUGGGUGCUCCUGCAGUCGGGUUGGGUUGGGAGCCCCCCGCCGCCUGGGGCUGGGGUGGGUGUCCACACGGGCCUCGCUGCCCUCCUGCCCUCAGCACGUGCAAAGCUGCUAGGAGACAUCCGCAUACGGUGGCCUGGGGCCACAGAGAGGAGAGGAAGAGCUGGCUGCCGCUCCCAGGGCUGCGGAGCGUGGCUGGCCUGGAGGGCAGAGCGCCCCCCCCCCCCCAGGCAGAGGACGGGGUGGUGGUGGCAGAGGUGGGCCAGAGCCAGGUGGCUGCCGCCCUGCGCACCCACCCACCCACCCACCCACGGGAGUGCGCUAGGCCAGAGGGAGGCCCCAUGCAGGUCCAGGUGCUGAUGCUUCCUGCCUGGGCAGCCUCAUCUGCAGACGGGUCUCCAGAGGGCUCCCCGGCACUGCCUCUGGCUGCCUGCCUCCAACCGCCCUGGGGACCGCUGGGGACCGCUGGGGCCAGGCUCCAGGGAGAGAAGACUGAACUCAUCCUCCAGGAAAUGGGCGUCAUUCUCCCCAACACCCAGAAUAGCCUCACCUUAAACCAGGCUCAGCUGGGAGUCAUCCCUGGCACCACACCUGCCUCAUACCCCAUCCAGGAUACGCUCUUGCUCCAAAGAUGGGUAGUGUGAGGGUCUCCCCCACGCAUGGAGCAGGGCAAGGGGCUCCGUCGUCACCUCCACCUCGUGACCAGAACCUCCAGUCUGACACCCGCCUCCUCGUGCCCGAGCUGGGCUCUGACCCAGGGACGGGCAGCCUGCACUUCUCAUAGUCUUGAGUGGGCAGGUGGGCAAAGGGAGCUCCCGGCCCCUUUGUCCCAACACCAUGGAAGUCCUGAACAUCUGAGCUGAUGGGAGUUGCUAUUCUGAGCAACCAGCCAGCACAUUACAGAGGGUUCAGUGACUAGGACAGACCAGAGCAAUAUGAUGGGAAGGGCCAAGGACAGCUGGGGACCCAGCCUCCUUCCUGAUACUGUUGGACUGACCCUCAGUCAUCAGGUCAGUGGCUUCUAGAACACCGGUUCCAUGUGAAGGUGGAACCACUGCGGUGGAAGCAAAGGGGACCCCAAAGCUGCACCAUGCCUGCAGGGAGCACGGGCAGAGCUCCUCCCCCGAUCACCCCUGGACUCCCCCACCAAACUGCCACCCCCAUACCAGCCAUGACUAAAGCACGAGCCACAGCAAAGUUUAGAAACCAUUCCUUUCUUUAUUAAAGCUUGCAAGUGAUAAAUAUUACAAAGUUUUUUUCUUUUAAUCCUUUCUCCAAAAAUUAGCUUAUUAUUUGAAUCUGUUACUGCUGAAAUGCUCAGCAGCAUCUGAAACAGAUGGGAGUGUAUUUGCCUUUUUGAAAACCAGUUUCUGUUGGUCUUAGUUUUUUUCAUUUUAAUUUCCAAACACAAUGCAGAAAAUCAGAAUGAGUUAAAAAAAGGAAACUUAGAGCCUGUGCAAAAGGGUCUUGCCCCCCCCACCCCCAUCCAGAGAGGCCCAUCCCGCCCCAGCCCCACUCCCCGCCCCAACCCCGCUCUGCCCCAACCUUUGCCAGGCCUCAGCCACCUUCCCCGGCCAGGAAGGAGCCUGGAGUGUGGGAGCCUCAGCCCAGGCUGUGGGGAGCCGCCCGCCAGGGCUCACAGGAGCUCUGAAGGAGACAAGAACCGG